rnacentral:rRNA from 1 species
AUGAACGCUGGCGGCGUGCCUAACACAUGCAAGUCGAACGAUGAAACCGCCCUCGGGCGGACAUGAAGUGGCGAACGGGUGAGUAACACGUGACCGACCUGCCCCCCGCCCAGGGACAGCCCCCCGAAAGGGGGAUUAAUACCUGGUACUCCGGAAGCGGCGCAUGCCGCGGCCGGGAAAGCUCUCGCGGCGGGGGAUGGGGUCGCGGCCCAUCAGGUAGACGGCGGGGCAGAGGCCCACCGUGCCGACGACGGGUAGCCGGGUUGAGAGACCGACCGGCCACAUUGGGACUGAGAUACGGCCCAGACUCCUACGGGAGGCAGCAGUGGGGAAUUUUGCGCAAUGGGGGCAACCCUGACGCAGCAACGCCGCGUGCGGGACGAAGGCGUCCGCGUCGUAAACCGCUUUCAGCGGGGAACACCUAACGAGGGUACCCGCAGAAGAAGCCCCGGCUAAAUACGUGCCAGCAGCCGCGGUAAUACGUAUGGGGCGAGCGUUAUCCGGAUUCAUUGGGCGUAAAGCGCGCGUAGGCGGAGCGCUAAGCGGGACCUCUAACCCGAGGGCUCAACCCCCGGCCGGGUCCCGAACUGGCGCUCUCGAGUGCGGUAGGGGAGAGCGGAAUUCCCGGUGUAGCGGUGGAAUGCGCAGAUAUCGGGAAGAACACCGACGGCGAAGGCAGCUCUCUGGACCGAAACUGACGCUGAGGCGCGAAAGCUGGGGGAGCGAACAGGAUUAGAUACCCUGGUAGUCCACGCCGUAAACGAUGAGUGCUAGGUGUUGGAUCCUUUCCGGGAUUCAGUGCCGCAGCUAACGCAUUAAGCACUCCGCCUGGGGAGUACGACCGCAAGGUUGAAACUCAAAGGAAUUGACGGGGGCCCGCACAAGCGGUGGAGCAUGUGGUUUAAUUCGAAGCAACGCGAAGAACCUUACCAGGUCUUGACAUCGAUCUAAAGGCUCCAGAGAUGGAGAGAUAGCUAUAGAGAAGACAGGUGGUGCAUGGUUGUCGUCAGCUCGUGUCGUGAGAUGUUGGGUUAAGUCCCGCAACGAGCGCAACCCCUGCCCCGUGUUGCCAGCAUUCAGUUGGGGACUCGCGGGGGACUGCCGGCGUCAAGCCGGAGGAAGGUGGGGACGACGUCAAGUCAUCAUGCCCCUUAUGCCCUGGGCCGCACACGUGCUACAAUGGCCGGUACAGAGGGUUGCGACCCCGCGAGGGGGAGCGGAUCCCGCAAAGCCGGCCCCAGUUCGGAUCGGAGGCUGCAACCCGCCUCCGUGAAGCCGGAGUUGCUAGUAAUCGCGGAUCAGCACGCCGCGGUGAAUACGUUCCCGGGCCUUGUACACACCGCCCGUCACACCAUGAGAGUCGGUAACACCCGAAGCCGGUGGCCUAACCGCAAGGAAGGAGCUGUCUAAGGUGGGACUGAUGAUUGGGGUG